UCGAGAAUCUUCGGCAAUGGGCGAAAGCCUGACCGAGCGAUGCCGCGUGCGGGAUGAAGGCCCUCGGGUUGUAAACCGCUGUCGUAGGGGAGGAAGGUUCCGUGAAGAGCGGAAUUUGACCUAUCCUAGGAGGAAGUACGGGCUAAGUUCGUGCCAGCAGCCGCGGUAACACGAACCGUACGAACGUUAUUCGGAAUUACUGGGCUUAAAGGGUUUGUCGGCGGCCUUGUAAGUCAGGUGUGAAAGCCCUCGGCUCAACCGAGGAACAGCGCUUGAUACUGCAAGGCUUGAGGGAGACAGGGGUAAGCGGAACUGAUGGUGGAGCGGUGAAAUGCGUUGAUAUCAUCAGGAACACCGGUGGCGAAAGCGGCUUACUGGGUCUCUUCUGACGCUGAGGAACGAAAGCUAGGGUAGCGAACG
rnacentral:rRNA from 1 species